rnacentral:rRNA from 1 species
GACACGACUCUCGGCAAUGAUAUCUCGGCUCUCGCAUCGGAUGAAGAGCGCAGCGAAAUGCGAUACGUGGUGCGAAUUGCAGAAUCCCGCGAAC